rnacentral:rRNA from 1 species
GGCGUAAGANCUCGUANGCGGUUUGUCGCGUCCGCUGUGAAAGCCCGGGGCUCAACCCCGGGUCGGCAGUGGGUACGGGCAGACUAGAGUGCAGUAGGGGAGACUGGAAUUCCUGGUGUAGCGGUGAAAUGCGCAGAUAUCAGGAGGAACACCGAUGGCGAAGGCAGGUCUCUGGGCUGUUACUGACGCUGAGGAGCGAAAGCAUGGGGAGCGAACAGGAUUAGAUACCCUGGUAGUCCAUGCCGUAAACGUUGGGCACUAGGUGUGGGGGACAUUCCACGUCCUCCGCGCCGUAGCUAACGCAUUAAGUGCCCCGCCUGGGGAGUACGGCCGCAAGGCUAAAACUCAAAGGAAUUGACGGGGGCCCGCACAAGCGGCGGAGCAUGCGGAUUAAUUCGAUGCAACGCGAAGAACCUUACCAAGGCUUGACAUCCACCGGACCGCCCCAGAGAUGGGGUUUCCCUUCGGGGCUGGUGGACAGGUGGUGCAUGGUUGUCGUCAGCUCGUGUCGUGAGAUGUUGGGUUAAGUCCCGCAACGAGCGCAACCCUCGUUCUAUGUUGCCAGCACGUGAUGGUGGGGACUCAUAGGAGACUGCCGGGGUCAACUCGGAGGAAGGUGGGGAUGACGUCAAAUCAUCAUGCCCCUUAUGUCUUGGGCUUCACGCAUGCUACAAUGGCCGGUACAAAGGGUUGCGAUACUGUGAGGUGGAGCUAAUCCCAAAAAGCCGGUCUCAGUUCGGAUUGAGGUCUGCAACUCGACCUCAUGAAGUCGGAGUCGCUAGUAAUCGCAGAUCAGCAACGCUGCGGUGAAUACGUUCCCGGGCCNUUGUACACACCGCCCGUCAAGUCACGAAAGUUGGUAACACCCNGAAGCCGGUGGCCUAACCCCUUGUNG